ACUACAAAUUUUAAAUUAAUUUGUAACAUGACAUUUCAUUGGGAAAUGGCUACAAACGGAUGCACCCUACACAGGGAGAGUUCACAGAGAUAACGUCUAAGAGCUGCUGUUGUUCAACAUUUAUCUAAAUAGCCUACACUAUUAUCUGCUGGUGAAGAAAUGAUUUGGUCAGAAAUAUUGACAACAUUUGCAGUGAUUACAAUAAAUUCAACAUAAAGUUAUUAACAUUAAACACAUGUUCAAAGUGAAAUAAAUUAAAAUAUAAGUUUGUCUAUUUAAUGAUAAGGCAGGUUACUACCUUGUCUCCUCCUGACAUAAACACUGAUGCAAGGCAAACAUACUGUAUCUCUCAGCCAAUAAAUACUAACAGGUCUGAUAAUGAUAAAUAAAUAACAAUGGCUAUGGAGACAAAAACACAAGGUAAACAAAAUACACAGAGUAUACAGAGAAUAACACUAAAUAAUCUCUCUUUUAGUAUAAGUAAAUUAUAAUAAUAUAAUACACUGGCAGUGAUACUAUACAAGUGGAUGCUAUAUAAACUGAUUGUCACAGAUGCUAUUGGCUACUGUCAAGGGUAAACGGACACAAUCAGCCUAUUGGCUGCAAACAGUGAUGGAUGCUAUCCACACAAAGUGUAAAUAGUUAUGUGGCAGUUGUAUUAAAUGCAAAUGGCCUGAGGAAUAAUGGGUGGGGUGAGUGUAAACAACCUAUGCCAACAAAGCACUAAUAUAUUUCAAGUCCUGUGAACGAUAGAAAAGAUCAUUAUGGCAGUUUAUAGCCAUAUUUGUCAUCUGUAUGUGUUACAUUACAGGACAGCCAAAACAGCUACAUAACUGGUAAGUUUUCAUAAGAUGUUUAUAUACUUUUCAAUUAGUUAAACUUGUGGCUAAUAAUACACAAGUACACAAGAACUCUAACCAUUUGUAAAUAAUGUAUAGUUUAAAGUUUUAGUGUGUACUAAUACUCAUGAGCUCUUAUAAACUAAAGGAAACAACUUUACAUUAAUUAAUGGAGUGGCCAUUCAGAAUUGCCAUGUUGAUGUAUAGUGGCAUUUUGGAGCAGGGCCGGCCCAUAGGGUUAUGGGGCCUUAGGAGAGACCAUGGGUUAGGGGAAGGGAAUAUACAGUUUGUACAGUACAAAACCAUUAUGGCUAUGGAAUUUGUUUUUUAGCACCAGUGACCUCCAUUUCAUUUGUUUUACAUUUUGAAUUCUGGCUUUCAACAUUUGCAAUGUUUCUAGUUGCAUCUUCAGUGAUUUUGCAGCUGUUUGCCUUGUCUGAAGAGAUUUCUCAACCAGGGGGAUUUCCAAGGAGGCCUUAACAUUACUUAAAAUUAUUCAAAUAAGACAACACGGCCAUUAAAAUAAGCUCAAAGAAGCAACGAUCAUUAUUUUUUUUUUUUCAUUUUUUGUAGUGAAUAUAAAUCUUUCUAGUCUUACCAAGCUAGUUCAUUUUUAUGUGGAAAAAAUUGAAUGAGUGAGGGGGCUUCAAUUAUUACUUCACAGUGCUAUUUUCUGAUUGGCUAUAGCCUCUUUCUUUUCUUUUUUUGGAUUGGCUCGCUCGACUCUCCCGAUUGCCACUUCGCUACUGUCAUCAUCAUUCAAACCUGACGACGAACCUUGUUGUGUUGUCUUAGUGAUGAGUAAUGGAAUGACUGUCUGUCACGUGACAUCUACCGGUAAGCAAAACUUGUUGUGCGUGUGCAAUCUGUAUGCAGUGGCGUAGCAAGUGAGUCCCAGGCCCAUAUGCAAAAAAAAAAUGUAUGGGUCCCCUUAAGCCAAAGCCACCCACAACCUUGCCCGUUGGCACUGUUAACUGUGGCGUUAAAUAUGUGACGAUAUGAAGGGGGAGGAGAUUUAUACUGCAUUCAGCAAAUUAUGUGAGCAACAUGUACAUGUUUGUGUUUUUCAGAGAAAAUGUUUAUGUGUGGUUUUUGAACAAGCAAAAUUUUAAGUAAUUAAUAAAGUCCACAAAACCUAUACUAAAUAUGUUUUCACAAGACUUGUCAUUGUCCCGACUCUUAUAUGUGUUUUUGUAAUCAUUAUAGUACAAACACAACAAGGGAUGAGCAAGGUUAACUUAUCUUUAUUUAUGUAAAGCUGCUUUGAAACAAUUGACUUUUGUGAAAAGCGCUAUAUAAAUAAAAUUGAAUUGAAUUGAAUUGAAAAUCAAGACUUUGUGCUUGUUUACGGACGCGAUUACUCAAGUAUGUCAUGACAAGUUAUGAUAGGUUUAUGUCAAGUUGUCAUAACAAAGACAUCUCAAACAAUGUCAUCUUUGCAUUAAAAAUUACAUAAUUGAACGAAUGACACUUAAUGACCGUUGUCAUAAAUGUGCAUAAAAUCUUCUUCAUGUUCAUAAUCACAUUUUAUGAUCUAAUCAUUGGGCUUUAGACUUCAAAAUAAGCCAGAUCAGAGCCUUCUGCCUCCAUCCCGGCAGGGAGAGGCUGUCAGUAGUGAUGUACUGCCGUGAACCCUGCACCCUGCCCCCACAUAACAAGUACAUUAAUACUUUGUGUCCUCCUUCCUUGCGUCUUUCCUUGCUUGCAUCAAAGGAGGGUGGAGAUAAGACGCGGGAAAGGAAGCGAGUAAAGGAAAUGAGGAUGCACAAAUAAAAAUUGAGAAGCACCCAUUGCUAUCAUAUAUAAGAAAACUGGUGUGAAACAAUUGAAGCAAAGGACAGAUAUCACUACGUGUUUGGAGUUUAAUGAAAACAAACUUUCCACACCCUUACAGAAGCCUUGCAGCCUCACAAAGACACGGACAGAGUUUAGAUAAGAGAAGCAAGCUGCGUUCCUUAUAUAGCACUUUGAGUGGUCUUACUAAAAACAUGAGCAGCAGGUAUAUGCCUUUAAGAAGUGCACUGGUAUUCGUCUGCAUACUUGUGCAUCUGCACUGGAGCCAUGAACAGGGCUGUGAAAAGAGUGAAGACUGCAAAAACAAAGAUGUGUAUGACAAAACUGUGACAGCAAUA